AGUGAACGCUGGCGGUAGGCCUAACACAUGCAAGUCGAACGGCAGCACAGUAAGAGCUUGCUCUUACGGGUGGCGAGUGGCGGACGGGUGAGGAAUACAUCGGAAUCUACUUUUUCGUGGGGGAUAACGUAGGGAAACUUACGCUAAUACCGCAUACGACCUACGGGUGAAAGCAGGGGAUCUUCGGACCUUGCGCGAUUGAAUGAGCCGAUGUCGGAUUAGCUAGUUGGCGGGGUAAAGGCCCACCAAGGCGACGAUCCGUAGCUGGUCUGAGAGGAUGAUCGGCCACACUGGAACUGAGACACGGUCCAGACUCCUAGGGGAGGCAGCAGUGGGGAUAUUGGACAAUGGGCGCAAGCCUGAUCCAGCCAUACCGCGUGGGUGAAGAAGGCCUUCGGGUUGUAAAGCCCUUUUGUUGGGAAAGAAAAGCAGCAGGUUAAUACCCCGCUGUUCUGACGGUACCCAAAGAAUAAGCACCGGCUAACUUCGUG
rnacentral:rRNA from 1 species